rnacentral:rRNA from 1 species
UACGUAGGGUGCAAGCGUUAUCCGGAUUUACUGGGUGUAAAGGGCGAGUAGACGGCGAUGCAAGUCAGAUGUGAAAUGCUAGGGCUUAACCUUAGAACUGCAUCUGAAACUGUAUUGCUAGAGUGCAGGAGAGGUAAACGGAAUUCCUAGUGUAGCGGUGAAAUGCGUAGAUAUUAGGAGGAACAUCAGUGGCGAAGGCGGUUUACUGGACUGUAACUGACGUUGAGGCGCGAAAGCGUGGGGAGCAAAC